rnacentral:rRNA from 1 species
AUUGAACGCUGGCGGCAGGCCUAACACAUGCAAGUCGAGCGGGGUUUUCGGACCUAGCGGCGGACGGGUGAGUAAUGCGUAGGAAGCUACCCGAUAGAGGGGGAUACCAGUUGGAAACGACUGUUAACACCGCAUCAUGUCUACGGACCAAAGUGUGGGACCUUCGGGCCACAUGCUAUCGGAUGCGCCUACGUGGGAUUAGCUAGUUGGUGGGGUAAUGGCUCACCAAGGCGCCGAUCCCUAGCUGGUUUGAGAGGAUGAUCAGCCAAACUGGAACUGAGACACGGUCCAGACUCCGACGGGAGGAAGCAGUGGGGAAUAUUGGACAAUGGCCGCAAGCCUGAUCCAGCCAUGCCGCGUGUGUGAAGAAGACCUUCGGGUUGUAAAGCACUUUCAGUAGGGAGGAAGCGUUGUGUGUUAAUAGUACACAGCGUUGACGUUACCUACAGAAGAAGCACCGGCUAACUCUGUGCCAGCCGCCGCCGUAAAAC